CCGUAUGAAGGAAUAAUAACGUAAGAAGACAUUUAUCUCCAGAAGAUAAGAGAGAAUGUGUCGUUGUCAGUCCUCAGGAAUGUUUUUCACACACGUUUGAUAAAAGAUGUUUCUCUUUGAAUCCGACCUGUAAAUCCUCCGUCUCUCUCAGAAAAACAGAUGAGCUCUAUUGGGAUGAAUCACGUUUGAUGUCACGCUGCAGGUUCGAGGUCUUCUCCACAACGCGAAGCGUCUUCUCGCUGCCAUUAGCACUUCCGUCUGCACUGAUUACUCACGCCACACGCCACACGCCACACGCCUCUGUGACCUCAUCAGCGGCUCUCGGCUGUACUGGACACAACACUGGUCCUUUAUGUAUUUAUUCUCUUUCCUCAUCGUUCAGUUCACUUCGAUCAGCUGAUGCUCCUUUUCACCACACGUCCAUGUUAUUAAAUCAAGAGCUCAUUGAUUCACUGAUGACUGACUUUCAAACACACAGCAGGAAAUUAAAUCACACGAAUACUAAAUAAAUUCAGCCCUUUCUAUUUCUCUCUCUCUAACACACACACACACACACACACACAUAUAUAUAUAUAUAUAGAUGACACUACUGUGUGUGUCACGUGUACUCAUUUUAAUGAAAAGACGCUGGUCCCCACAAGGUCAACCAUUCAUUCGAGGGUUAAAUCUUCUCAUCUCUUGCUCACAACCGAGGAAAAACAAAUGCAGGCGCAUACGUUCUCCAACGUGAUUAACCACAGCUGCCUGGUUUCAAUGAGCCACGGAACAACGUUAUUUACCUCCGAUACGUUAAUGGGGUUCAUCCAUCGUCGUUCGAUAACAGUGAUGCAUCUUUAAUGGAUUCUCCUGUUGGUCAGAGUUAUUCGCGUUAUUGAAUUAAUCAUCGUCAUGAAGAGAAAGAGAUGAGGACAAAUGCUCAGAAUGAGAAGAGAUAAACGAGGUAUAAGAAAGGCGAGAGCAUCGGUGCGACCACCGCCGGCUCUUCUUCUCCGUCCUCAGUCGCCGCUGCUCUCCGGAUCCAAUUAAGUGGAAACCUCACGGGAGAAUAACGCCACAGAGUGAAAGUAGGCUGAAAAGCAAUGAGCGUGUGUAAUGAGGCGGCUGGUUAGUCUGUUGCUAAAGUGGGCGGAGCCUCAGCGCUGGAUGGCGUUCGGUUGGAAGUGAGAUGGGAAGGAGACGAGCGUUUGAGCAUGAAAGGUAAAGAAAAUAGAGGAAGUUCUAAAAAUGCUGAAAAGAUGGAGACGCCUGUGUGACGAUGUUAGAGGCCUCGUUGCUGAAAUCAUUCACAUAUUAUUCAUCUCCCAUGCACAUCGGGUAGAUAGAUAGAUAGAUAGAUAGAUAGAUAGAUAGAUAGAUAGAUACUUUAUUGAUCCCUCAAGAGGGAAAUUUUGGGUACAACGAGCUGGAGAUCUGAUCCAUUUCACGUCCACAGUCAACAAGGCAAAAGGCGCUUCGGAGCUCCUCAUUUUCUCAUUUUCUCAUAUCGUUGCUAGUAGCUUCUCAUUACUCAUCAGAAUAAUUCAUCUCAGAGCCACACGAGUGAUUUUGGUUUCAAUAUGUCAUAUUUUUUAACAAAUACUUUCCGUAUGGAGCCAGGGAAUGAAUUAAGGAGAAACCAAUGGUUUCUUAAUGCAGGAGAUAUUUUGAGAGAAAAUAGCUUCUAAUUCGAUGACACUUUGGAGAUAUUAAAAUGCAGCUCACGGAAGUAACUUACACUGUUUGGUUUCCUGAUGAAAGCGCUAAAAAUAAAGGUUUAAUAACAGUUUGUUGUGUCUGGGCUAACCCUUUGAAAUGAUAUUCAAUCAUAUUUGAGUAACAGUAGAUAUGAAUUAAAUGUAAAUUGAGCUGGGAAGCUGCUCUCACGUCCACGGGGUGACAGUUGAAACUCAAAUAUUAGUUCUUCACUAUCAACAAGAGCUUUCUUUAUUAAUAGCUUUUCUAUAUUAAUAAGUAUUGUGCAUUUUAGGAAGUGUUUCUGUCCUCCGUCCGGAUGUUAUGUGUUCGUCAACGGAGCGAAUCCAACACGAGUCUUCAUCAGCAGAACGCCGCUACGCGCUGGAACCCAAGAUAAAUCCAUCAGGUCCAGCUUUCCACCUCCAACUGGUGCAGAUUGAUGGUCCUGCACACACACACACACACACACACACCAGCUACACACAUGCAGCUACACACAUGCAGCUACACAGUUAAUCAUGUGUGUGAAGGUCCAGCGGGGAGGCAGCAAAAAUCUGGAAUACCAGUUGGAUUCUGUCUGCCGUGUGUGUGCGUGUGUGUGCACCAGUGUGUGCGUGUGUGUGUGCUUUUUGAAAGCUGUUGACAGGUGACUGACAGCUGAGGAAGAUGGAUGGGGUGCAGAGGCUGGACAGUGGGGGGUCGGGAGCAGCGUGUUGACUGUGUGUGUUUGUGUGUGUGUUUGCUGCCUGGUGGGCGAGCGGAGAUGAGCUGACCGUGUGUCGCUCCAGAACAAACCGGAUCUGCUUGAAGAAG
ensembl:lncRNA